AUUUAUAUAGUUUAUAUUAAAACACUCCAUUUUCAGUGGGGAGAUGAAUUUUUUCUAUAAAUA
rnacentral:tRNA from 2 species